rnacentral:rRNA from 1 species
UUCGGGUGGGGAUUAGUGGCGAACGGGUGAGUAACACGUGGGCAAUCUGCCCUGCACUCUGGGACAAGCCCUGGAAACGGGGUCUAAUACCGGAUACUGACCUGCCGAGGCAUCUUGGCGGGUCGAAAGCUCCGGCGGUGCAGGAUGAGCCCGCGGCCUAUCAGCUUGUUGGUGAGGUAAUGGCUCACCAAGGCGACGACGGGUAGCCGGCCUGAGAGGGCGACCGGCCACACUGGGACUGAGACACGGCCCAGACUCCUACGGGAGGCAGCAGUGGGGAAUAUUGCACAAUGGGCGCAAGCCUGAUGCAGCGACGCCGCGUGAGGGAUGACGGCCUUCGGGUUGUAAACCUCUUUCAGCAGGGAAGAAGCGAAAGUGACGGUACCUGCAGAAGAAGCGCCGGCUAACUACGUGCCAGCAGCCGCGGUAAUACGUAGGGCGCAAGCGUUGUCCGGAAUUAUUGGGCGUAAAGAGCUCGUAGGCGGCUUGUCACGUCGGUUGUGAAAGCCCGGGGCUUAACCCCGGGUCUGCAGUCGAUACGGGCAGGCUAGA